rnacentral:rRNA from 1 species
GACGAACGCUGGCGGCGUGCUUAACACAUGCAAGUCGAACGAAGUGGCGAACGGGUGAGUAACGCGUAAUCAACCUGCCCUUCAGGGGGGGACAACAGUGGGAAACGACUGCUAAUACCGCAUAGUGAAGGAGGGGAUUGCGGCUGAAUAGCUAGUUGGAUGGGUAACGGCCCACCAAGGCGAUGAUAAGUAGCCGGUCUUGGGGGAUGAACGGCCACAUUGGGACUGAGACACGGCCCAGAACCCUACGGGGGGCAGGAGUGGGGAAUCUUCCGGAAUGGACGACAGUCUGACGGAGCAACGCCGCGUUAGUGAUGACGGCCUUCGGGUUGUAAAGCUCUGUUAAUCGGUACGCGGUACCGGAAUAGAAAGCCACGGCUAACUACGUGCCAGCAGCCGCGGUAAUAC